rnacentral:rRNA from 1 species
GCGACGACGGGUAGCCGGCCUGAGAGGGCGACCGGCCACACUGGGACUGAGACACGGCCCAGACUCCUACGGGAGGCAGCAGUGGGGAAUAUUGCACAAUGGGCGAAAGCCUGAUGCAGCGACGCCGCGUGAGGGAUGACGGCCUUCGGGUUGUAAACCUCUUUCAGCAGGGAAGAAGCGAAAGUGACGGUACCUGCAGAAGAAGCGCCGGCUAACUACGUGCCAGCAGCCGCGGUAAUACGUAGGGCGCAAGCGUUGUCCGGAAUUAUUGGGCGUAAAGAGCUCGUAGGCGGCUUGUCACGUCGGAUGUGAAAGCCCGGGGCUUAACCCCGGGUCUGCAUUCGAUACGGGCUAGCUAGAGUGUGGUAGGGGAGAUCGGAAUUCCUGGUGUAGCGGUGAAAUGCGCAGAUAUCAGGAGGAACACCGGUGGCGAAGGCGGAUCUCUGGGCCAUUACUGACGCUGAGGAGCGAAAGCGUGGGGAGCGAACAGGAUUAGAUACCCUGGUAGUCCACGCCGUAAACGUUGGGAACUAGGUGUUGGCGACAUUCCACGUCGUCGGUGCCGCAGCUAACGCAUUAAGUUCCCCGCCUGA